UACGUAGGGGGCAAGCGUUGUCCGGAUUUAUUGGGCGUAAAGAGCGUGUAGGCGGCCAGAUAGGUCUGUUGUGAAAACUCGAGGCUCAACCUCAAGACGCCGAUGGAAACCAUUUGGCUAGAGUCCGGAAGAGGAGAGUGGAAUUCCUGGUGUAGCGGUGAAAUGCGCAGAUAUCAGGAAGAACACCGAUGGCGAAGGCAGUUCUCUGGGCCGUAACUGACGCUGAGGAGCGAAAGCGUGGGGAGCGAACAGG
rnacentral:rRNA from 1 species